UACGUAGGGUGCAAGCGUUAAUCGGAAUUACUGGGCGUAAAGCGUGCGCAGGCGGCUUUGCAAGACAGAUGCGAAAUCCCCGGGCUUAACCUGGGAACUGCAUUUGUGACUGCAUGGCUAGAGUACGGUAGAGGGGGAUGGAAUUCCGCGUGUAGCAGUGAAAUGCGUAGAUAUGCGGAGGAACACCGAUGGCGAAGGCAAUCCCCUGGACCUGUACUGACGCUCAUGCACGAAAGCGUGGGGAGCAAACAGG
rnacentral:rRNA from 1 species